rnacentral:rRNA from 1 species
AGUGAACGCUGGCGGUAGGCCUAACACAUGCAAGUCGAACGGCACCACAGUAAGAGCUUGCUCUUACGGGUGGCGAGUGGGGGACGGGUGAGGAAUACAUCGGAAUCUACUUUUUCGUGGGGGAUAACGUAGGGAAACUUACUCUAAUACCGCAUACGACCUACGGGUGAAAGCAGGGGAUCUUCUGACCUUGCGCGAUUGUAUCAGCCUAUGGCGGAUUAGCUCGUUAGCGGGGUAAAGGCCCACCAAGGCGACGAUCCGUAGCUGGUCUGAGAGGAAGAACAGCCAGAUUGGAAGUGAGAAACAGUCCAGACACCUACGGUGAGCAACAGUGGGGACUAUUGGACAAUGGGGGAAAGCCUGAUCCAGCCAUACGGCGUGGAUGAAGAAGGACUUCGGGUUGUAGAGCCAUUUUGUCGGGAAAGAAAAGCAGCAGGUUAAUCCCCCGCGAUUCUGACGGUACCGGAAGAAUAAGCACCGGCUAACUUCGUG